AAAAAUUCUCCUUCUUUCCCAAACCAAACCUUAUCUGUUCUCCUCCAUUCCCCCAAAUUGACCAGACCACCAGUCUGUCACUCGCUUCUCACUGCUGCCAACCGCUGGUCGCCGGUCUUGCCAACUCUCGCCGCCCUCUGCAGUGAGGGCCCUCCAGGCCUCCACGCCAGGUGCCGGGUGUUGGCUGCUGGUGCUUCUCCUUCUCUCACUGCUUCUCCGCUCACGCUGCAUGCUGCCGUGCAGUGGACCGCUGAUGCUGCCGCCGGCUAGUAAACUAAACAGUGAACUGUUGUUGAAGCGUCGAAGGAGCAAGACUGCUGCAAGAGCAAAGGUAUUUUUUCAAAUUAAUUAAAGGAAAAGGAUUCAAUGAUGUUCUUCAUAGACUUGCGUAAUGUUUUGAUUGCCAUGUAAUUUUUUAAGUUAUGUAUUGUGUGCCAAAUCUCGAUAGCCUAACCAUCUAUGAUUUUUGUGCUAUGUACAUCAGUAAUGAAGUACAAUUUCAGAUCCAUCAUUCAUUCAUGCUUUUCGGGCUAUGCUUUUUUAGUAGUAUCGGACAGUCAGCCGUCUUCUGAUUCAGAAAAGAGGUGACAGUGAUUUUGAAUUUUUGGCUCAGGUAACAACCAUGGUCUAGGAGAGCAUAUCUGUAGUUAUUGGUUGUAGGCAUCUUUUGGUCAGUCCGGUGUGUUCUACAGUUGUGGCUAUGGAGCACUUUUGGCCAGUUCGGUGUAUUCUACAGUUGUGGUUAUGGAGCACUGGAUAACAGUAGUAAUUAUCCACAAGACCAGGUAUGUUGGUGUUCCAUUCUCAUAAUUACAGAUAACACUAUAUUUGCUAGGUUAAUUAAGUAAGGUACAUACCCUUGCCUUGAGGCGGAAGGGAGUGGGGUGGGUACAACAUCGAUAACAUGUGAGGUGGCGAUGAGCCCGGCCAGAUGGCUCAUCGUUCCACGGUAGAAGAACAACGGAGCAGGCGCAAAGAAUCUUCAGCAAUAACAGAAAACAAAAAUUACAAUUUUUCAGCUAGACAACACACCAGAACUAUCUCAAUCAUGAACUGACAUCUAAAACACCAGAAACUGAAGAACGUUAUAGCAGCACAAAUCUUCAUCUUCAUAAGAAAAUCAAUCUUAAAUUAGGCAAGGGCAUUGAUAUGCAAAUUUGAGAUAGAAAAAUGUUUAUUUUCCUAGGUAAUAACUCGCAACUGGUCUACGAAUACACUGAAUAAAAAGAUAUGUAGAUUAAACAUGAUAUCCUACUGAUAGAAACGAAUGGAGUUUUGUUCUUGGUUGAAAUCUGCAAGGAGGUACUCCCUCCGUCCGAAAAUACUUGUCAUCAAAAUAGAUAAAAAGGGAUGUAUCUAGAACGAAAAUACAUCUAAAUACAUCCCCUUUUAUUCAUUUUGAUGACAAGUAUUUCCGAACGGAGGGAGUAGUACCUAAAGGCUAAAGGACUCCUCAGCUAGAGGCCACACAAGUAAAGGUAGCCCCUGACAAAGAGCUCAUGCUCUUGUAUAUCUGUUCAGUUUGUGCACAACAUCAAAGCAAUUUGUAAGGUGAUCCUCUCGGGCCAUGUAGUAUGGUUUGCUUACAGUUUUAGCAAAGCUCUCAUAGAUGAUGAAUAAGCAUUAGGUUCUGGGGCAAAAAUGUCUUAAUAUAUAUUCUGAAUAAAUUGUAUCAAUUAAGUUAACUCCAUUAUGUAGGGAUGGAAAAUCAAGCAAAAUGCAGUAGAAAAUGUAUAUUUUACAUAAUUUAACAAGAGUUUCCACAUUUGCCUUCAGAGGCUUGAAAUUACUAAACAAAUCAGAGGAAAAAAUGGGAAGAUCUACAUCGCUUAUUUUAGCAGAUCUAGAUUAUAAGGUGCAAAGGUAUGUUCCAGAGAAUAGCAGUCCUGAAGAACACAGAUGGCCCAAAAUCAAUUGCCUUUAGAGAACUCUUCUUAUUUGUGUGUAACUUGUCUAGUUUAAGGUCCUGAUGGAUGACACCAUUCCUAAUGGCACAUCUGUCAUAAUAUAUAAUAAAAAGAAUAUGUGUCAGAUGUCACAAAACAACCCAAUAUUGGAAGAAACACUUGUGGAACAAAAAUCUGGACUGAAGGUAACAAUCAAUGGUGGAACCCUAUGUAGUUUUCAAUGACAUGACAAAUUUACAUAAUUCUCGGAGAAGCAUGUAGCAUAUUUUGUAUCUCUGGAGUUCAACAUGGCAAUAUUUUGUAUCUACAAUACUUUGUUUCAUCAUGUGUUUUAAAGGUCAGGAACUACCCAUGGUUUGCUGGGGUAGUGAAGGCUGUGGUUUUUUCGAAGGUGGUCCAGGAUAUUCCUAUGAACUGAACAUUAAACAGAUUGGAAAUGAGAAAACACUUGCCACUGCUCGCUCCUGGCAUCGUCCACAACCCUUCCUCAGCUGAAAAGAAUGACAUAAACGUUCAAAAAAAUUUGAGCUCUAAACUCAGUGCAUUUAUUGAAAUCAGACCGCCAAACAUAAUAGCAAAUACAAAUAAAAGUCGAUGCGAGCUCCAGACCUACCGUCAAAAAGAUAUCAGAUAGCUAAUGAAAUUAAGGAUCAUUCUUCAACACAGAUCGGAAUUUUUUUAUUAUUGCUCCUUGAAUUCCUAACUCCUAAGCUCGAGAACGCUCAAAUGCUUCUAUAAAAGCUUUAGACCACCAAUAACAUCAUAAACCAUGUAUGUAGGCAUUGCUCGAAAAAAUCAGUAAAAUAAGCAAACAAAAUCUCAGUUAACCACCUUGUACACAAAACAAAGGACAUUUAAAUUCCGAAACCUGAAGAUAUGCUACAGGAGCACAGGUAUGUUUGAUAGAAACUAAUGUACAUGUAUAUGCAUGAUUACUAAAUAUGGCAAGCCUUAGUUUCGUUUGGAGGAAGUGGUUUGCUUAAGGUCAUUCAUCCUUCCCACUUUACUUAUACAAGUGUGACAACAAAACCAUUACAACACAAGGCAACAAUACAUAUUAUGUGGUAGCAGGAAUAGGAACUUGGGUGUAUUUUAGUUCAGAGAUAUAGAAGUGAUAAGUGAUCUAGUUUAGGGCACAUACUCCCUCCGUUUCUUUUUACUCCGCGUAUAAGUUUUGGUCAAAGUCAAACUACACAAAGUUUGACCAAAUUUAUAUUAAAACAUAUAAACAUCUACAAUACUCAAACUAUAUAAUAUGAAAAUACAUUUGAUGGUGAAUCUGAAAAUGUUGAUUUCAUAUUGUGAAUGUUGAUAUAUUUUUAAUAUAAAGCUAGUCAACUAUGCAAAGCUUGACUUUGACCAAACCUUAUAUGCAGACUAAAAAGAAAUGGAGGGAGUACCAACAAGUAGUUACAAGAGAAAACAUUUGUUCACAGUAAGUUAGUAACCCUAAAGGAUCUACCUACUCGGAGAAAUUCAUAAGAACAAAACUGCAUAUACAGUAAAACACAAUGAGCUUUGAAUCAAAGUAUAACUAUUUGAAAAUCUUUGGAGAAGAUCAAACAAUACAUCCUUGCAUCACUACUCGGGGUCACUAACGGAGGCGCCAAUUCCUUCGAGCAG
rnacentral:lncRNA from 1 species